CCGUGAUGUAUUUGUUUGUUGUUAGCAGCAGAGUAUGUUCAACAUAGAACUUCAAUUUAGCACUUGGCUCCAUGCUUCCUUGAGAUAAUAUCAAUUUAUAAGUAGAUUAGCAUCUAAUAGGCUCUUCUAUGACCUCUGGCCUCGCAGAAAUUUCUUCAUCCUAUUUCUUUUUUUUUUUUUUUUUUUCAAGUUCACAAAAUAACUCUUUAUUAUUUCAGGCAAGAAGUCUGGAUGAAAGGGUUACCGUUCCCGGUAGCCAAAAUCCAGGUGUUAGUGGCACUAUUUCAACUUUAUAGAUUCAACUUAGUCAGAAAAGGGUGCCAGGGUCCUACAUUCCCCAGCUGGACAAGAAGAAGGGCAAAACUGGAAGAGACUCUAACCUGCUGAUACUGCUCUUGAGACCCAACACCUCACGGGCCCGUCAGCAGGUCACGGACCCACCACCGAGGGGCAGAGGCCACUCUACGCUACAUACGGGAGGAGGGACGCGGGGCACCUGGGCGGACAGGCACCGACAGCUUCAGAACUCCUCAGUGAAUGGAUAGUCCUUGUGGGAGGCACAGCUCACCAAGGCACAGACCCUCCAGUUCCGGUUGUAGCUGAGUAAGGUGGUCAUGUCCACACUACUCAGCUCAAAGUCAAAGACCUGAAAGUUCUCAGCAAUGCGUUCGGGUGUCACGGACUUGGGAAUCACGACCAAAUUCCUCUGCAUGGGGAAGGGUCCUCAGGCUUGGCCCAGGGCCUGUCGGGGGAGCCAAGGGGACUAUAGGCGGUCACCACGAUGCCUUUGGCUUGGCAGUACUGGAUUAACUUCUCCUGAGUGAGGUACGGGUGGCACUCGAUCUGGUUAACAGCAGGCUUAUAUUUUAAGCCAGGUUUGUUUAAGAUCUUCUCAAUUUGGAGAUGGUUGAAGUUGGAGACUCCGAUGGCUUUCACCAGCCCUUCAUCCACCAGCUGUUCCAUGGCCUCCCACGUGUCCACAAAACUGGUAUCACUGGGAAUCACAUUGCCUUCCCCAUCCAGUGGGAAAUAUUCCUUCCCGGCCUUGAAGCCUGUGGGCCAGUGAAUAAGGUAGAGGUCCAGGUAGUCGAGCUUCAGGUCGCUGAGCGUCUUCUGGCAGGCCCCCUUCACCAUGCUCUUCUCGUGGUAUGUACACCACAGCUUGCUGACGACGAAGAGGUCCUCACGCUUCACCACCUGCUCCUUGAGCUUCUCCUGGAUGGCCGUAGAGCUCCGCGGACCGCGCCCGAGGACCACCUUCAUCCUAUUUCUUAAAUUGCUGGAUAUUGCCUUACCUCUCAUUUUAGUUUACAUUCAUCUUUCCUCCUC
rnacentral:lncRNA from 1 species